GACGGGUGAGUAACACGUAGGAAUCUGCCUAGUAGUGGGGGAUAACUUGGGGAAACUCAAGCUAAUACCGCAUACGCUCUACGGAGGAAAGCGGGGGAUCUUCGGACCUCGCGCUAUUAGAUGAGCCUGCGUCCGAUUAGCUAGUUGGUGGGGUAAAGGCCCACCGGGAAGACGAUCGGUAGCUGGUCUGAGAGGACGAUCAGCCACACUGUACUCUGAGACACGGGACAGACUCUACG
rnacentral:rRNA from 1 species